rnacentral:lncRNA from 1 species
CUAGGGAGUAAAAUGUUUCUCUGAAUUGUGUGAGCUGCUAUAGCAGAUUAAUCAAACCCAAGGAGGGGCUUGUUGGGACCUCCAAUCUAUUACUGGUUGGUCAGAAGCACUCGGGCUUGCCACUGGUGUCUGAAGUUACGAGGAGUGCAGUCUUGUAGGACUGGGCCCUUAACCUGUGGGAUCUGAUGCUCUCUUCAGAUCCUUAGGCUCUCAGGAGUUCAGUGAAGAGCCACUUGAUGUAGCCGCACAGGCUGUCACGGAAGGGUCCUGGGGGCUGCGGAGUUAAUGGAGCCUGGAAGUCCACUGCAGCUGUGGUCAAGCACGGCACCAGAGUCACAGUUUUCUUGCUGGUAAUGAGCUGAGGUUGCUCCAUGGUCUAAAACAAAUCCAAGGUAUGAUGCUACUUGAUGCAAAUCAUGGCUACUGUGAGCGGCAUACACGCGAGGCGGACUCUGGGCCUGGAAUCUGCUGAAGCACCAGCUUCACUGAGUCGAUUUUGAGUUUUCCCUUUGAGAGCCACUGCUGAGAGGGCACAGGAUGUGGGCAGAACUCUUAGCACCCUUGGAUUACGGUUCCUUCCACCUAUCAGCUUUAGCAUGUGCCAGUCGAAGAGCUUGAGUUUCCGAAGUACAACACUGAGUCUUUAUGGAGUAGUGCAGCCAUGAGAUCCUGCCGGGGCUCUCCCGCAGCACCUCUGCACUUCUCAGGGAAUAUUUAUCUCUGCUGAUUGACCACUGUUGACCCAGGGUGAAGUGAUUGUUGUUCUGUCUUUGGAGAAGAGCAAAGAUGGCACCCAGGCAUACUGACAAAACUCGAGGACAUCUUUCCCUGCUUGUCUUCUUGCCACUGCUGUAAAAGGCAGGCUAAUUAGUUAGUUUCCUCCAGAAAUAUCCAUCUAAAUCUGUACUAGCCACAUCACAAUAUCUCUGUAAUACAGCUUUUAAGGCGCAAAGUGAACAUUGAUCCUGAUGUCUCUUUCCCCUUGAAUGCCAUGAUUUAAAAAAAAAAAAAAGUUUCCAGUCAAAUGUACAAAGUAAAUAAAAAAAGUCUGUCAAAGUACUAAAUUAAUAAGUAAUAGGAAAAUAGUUAAAACUCUGCACUUGCAGCAGACUCGGGGUCAUUACUUUUGAUGAAUAUUUUCCUUUCUAAGAGGCAUUGCUAAUAUAAGUAAGUAGACCAAAGAGGAUAUUUAAAAUAUAUCCAUAUAUUACCUUUUGUUAAGAUCUUUAACCCUGGAAAAUCACGUCCACAAUCAUAGCUCAUUAUCUUAAUUAGAUCUGUCCUACAUUAUCUCACAAUUUUUUCUCAUUACUUCAUAGGUGAUCAGCCUUUCAAAAAGAAUGCGAGCAGAAUUUUCUGAUUUUUUAUUGUGAUAGUGUCUGUGUUCUCUUUCAAACUCUACUUAGAUCUUUUGGGUGUCAUAAUGGUGAUGCUAUAUUUAAUUAAAAAUUACAUUAGAAAGAGAUUAAUAUUCAUUCUGAUGAAUGAA